CACGUAGGGCGCAAGCGUUGUCCGGAAUUAUUGGGCGUAAAGAGCUCGUAGGUGGUUUGUUACGUCCGCUGUGAAAUCCUAGGGCUUAACCCUGGGCUUGCAGUGGAUACGGGCAGACUAGAGGUAGGUAGGGGAGAAUGGAAUUCCUGGUGUAGCGGUGAAAUGCGCAGAUAUCGGGAAGAACACCCGUGGCGAAGGCGGCUCUCUGGGACGGUACUGACGCUGAGACGCGAAAGCGUGGGGAGCGAACGAGG
rnacentral:rRNA from 1 species